rnacentral:rRNA from 1 species
AUUGAACGCUGGCGUCAGGCCUAACACAUGCAAGUCGAACGAGUGGCGGACGGGUGAGUAAUGUCUGUGAAACUUCCUGAUGGAGGGGGAUAACUACUGGAAACGGUAGCUAAUACCGCAUACCAUCAGAUGUGCCCAGAUGGGAUUAGCUACUUGGUGGGGUAACGGCUCACCAAGGCGACGAUCCCUAGCUGGUCUGAGAGGAUGACCAGCCAAACGUGAACUGAGACAAGGUCCAGAAUCCUACGGGAGGCAGAAGUGGGGAAUAUUGCACAAGGGGCGAAAGCCUGAUGCAGCCAUGCCGCGUGUAUGAAGAAGGCCUUAGGGUUGUAAAGUACUUUCAGCGGGGAGGAGGAAAAAGAAGAAGAAGCACCGGCUAACUCCGUGCCAGCAGCCGCGGUAAUAG